rnacentral:rRNA from 1 species
UUUUGGACAAUGGGCGCAAGCCUGAUCCAGCCAUGCCGCGUGCGGGAAGAAGGCCUUCGGGUUGUAAACCGCUUUUGUCCCCCCCAGAAACGGUUUGGGCUAAUACCCCGAACUAAUGACGGUACCUGAAGAAUAAGCACCGGCUAACUACGUGCCAGCAGCCGCGGUAAUACGUAGGGUGCAAGCGUUAAUCGGAAUUACUGGGCGUAAAGCGUGCGCAGGCGGCUUUGCAAGACAGAUGUGAAAUCCCCGGGCUCAACCUGGGAACUGCAUUUGUGACUGCAAGGCUGGAGUGCGGCAGAGGGGGAUGGAAUUCCGCGUGUAGCAGUGAAAUGCGUAGAUAUGCGGAGGAACACCGAUGGCGAAGGCAAUCCCCUGGGCCUGCACUACGCUCAGCAGAAA